rnacentral:rRNA from 1 species
GACGAACGCUGGCGGCGUGCUUAACACAUGCAAGUCGAACGGAAAGGCCCUGCUUUUGUGGGGUGCUCGAGUGGCGAACGGGUGAGCAACACGUGAGUAACCUGCCCUUGACUUUGGGAUAACUUCAGGAAACUGGGGCUAAUACCGGAUAGGAGCUCCUGCUGCAUGGUGGGGGUUGGAAAGUUUCGGCGGUUGGGGAUGGACUCGCGGCUUAUCAGCUUGUUGGUGGGGUAGUGGCUUACCAAGGCUUUGACGGGUAGCCGGCCUGAGAGGGUGACCGGCCACAUUGGGACUGAGAUACGGCCCAGACUUCUACGGGAGGCAGCAGUGGGGAAUAUUGCACAAUGGGCGGAAGCCUGAUGCAGCAACGCCGCGUGCGGGAUGACGGCCUUCGGGUUGUAAACCGCUUUCGCCUGUGACGAAGCGUGAGUGACGGUAAUGGGUAAAGAAGCACCGGCUAACUACGUG